rnacentral:ncRNA from 1 species
UCAUCACAACGGUGAAACAGCCACAACAACCCUGAGCUGGCAUCAGUCUAUCCACCACAACGCCAAGCAAUAGCCACACCCCCACGGGCAACACAGCAGUAAUUAACAUUAGGCUAUAAGUGAAAACUUGACCAAGCAAAAUGAAUAAGGGCCGGUUAAUCUCGUGCCAGCGACCGCGGUUACACGAUAGACCCAAGGUAAUAUUAACGGCGUAAAAGUGACUAAAAUAACAGUCCCGACUUAGGGCGAAAACCAGACUCGGCUGUAAAAAGCCAUAAGUCACAUUAACCACCACCCCUAACACUACACAACUUUGACUCAUGAAAGCCAGGACACAAACUAAGAUUAGAUACCCUACUAUGCCUAGCCGUAACACACAAUUAAAUUACAAAUUGUUCGCCAAACAACUACGAGUCCCACUUAAAACUUAAAAGACUUGACGGUACUUCAUCACGGCCUAGAGGAGCCUGUCUAAUAACCGACAAUCCACGAUUAACCCCACCCUUUCUCGCCUUACAGUCUAUAUACCGCCGUCGCCAGCUUACCUUGUAAAAGAGAAAAAGUGAGCUAAACAGUACUACGCUAGAACGACAGGUCGAGGUGUAACCUAUGAAAGGGACUACGAUGGGCUACAUUCUUCAACCGAGAACACGAAUAGCACUAUGAAAUUAGUGCUUGAAGGCGGAUUUAGCAGUAAGAUAAGAAUAAAACACUUAACUGAACAUGACGCAAUGAAGUGCGUACACACCGCCCGUCACCCCUGUCACCACAACACCAGACUUUAAUAAAUCAACUAAAAGAAUCAAGCAGGGCAAGUCGUAACAUGGUAAGUGUACUGGAAAGUGCACUUAGAAACAAAAAGUAGCUUACAAAAAG